GUGCCAGCAGCCGCGGUAAUACGUAGGUCCCGAACGUUGCGCGAAUUUACUGGGCGUAAAGGGUGUGUAGGCGUCCCGGUAAGUCUCUGGUGAAAGCCUUCCGCUCAACGGAAGAAUUGCCAGAGAUACUGUCGGGAUUGAGUCCGGGAGAGGGGAGCGGAAUUCCUGGUGUAGCGGUGAAAUGCGUAGAUAUCAGGAAGAACGCCAGAGGCGAAGGCGGCUCCCUAGCCCGGUACUGACGCUGAGGCACGAAAGCGUGGGGAGCGAACGGGAUUAGAUACCCCGGUAGUCCACGCCCUAAACGAUGGAUGCUAGGUGUUGGAUCCGAGAGGAUUCAGCGCCGAAGCUAACGCGUUAAGCAUCCCGCCUGGGGACUACGGCCGCAAGGCUGAAACUUAAAUGAAUUGACGGGG
rnacentral:rRNA from 1 species